rnacentral:rRNA from 1 species
GCCAGCAGUUAUAUCACCCUGCAACUCACACUGAAGCUCAGCAGGUGUGAGCCUGGCCAGUACUUGGCUGAGAGACCUCCUGGGAAAACUAAGGGUGCAGCUGGAA